GGGAUUGAGGGGCGGGGCCGGGCCCGACUCAGGUGCGCGGGGCCCCAGUGCGGCUGCGCGGGCCGGGGCCUAUUUCUAUGCGGCCGAUCCGCUCCCGGCCCGUUCCAUUCGGGAACACUCGUGCUGGGAUGCGGCGGGAUCCUCGUCGGAGCGCUGUGCCAGGGACAGCUCCCGGUUCUGCGCGAAUCCUGGGGCGCUCAGGACACAGGAUAUACUGGGAUUGAGAGGGUUCCUGAAAUCCGACUCUCGAGGACACGGCCCGUGGGAGAAUUGAACUUACAACCUUGGUGCUACCUGGGCUGUGCUCCGACUGACUGAGCCCUCUGCAUCACAGCUGCGAGGGGCAGGAGGAGGCCAGGAGUCCCCGAAAGGCAUCCAGCACCUCUUGUCCUUGGGCCUUCAGGCAAGGGCUGUGCCUGCAGCGUCCUGCCCGUGCCGAGCGCACGGCUCGGGAUGGGCGCUGGGUGCCCGGCCGGCGCUGGCACGGACACGGCUCAAGGGCUGCCCGUGGCUCCCGGGCCAGGGGCUGCUCUGAGCAGGCUCCUGGAGACGCUUCAGCCUGGAUACAGGCCACUGACAGCCCAAAAGCAGCCCAAGGAGCAGCUGGCGUGUCCUGGUGAUGGUGGCACGGGCUGCAUGCAGAGGGGCUCAGACAGCAAUUCCUGGUUCCAGCCUCCCAGAGCUCCCAGGCAGCUGCCAGCUAUUAAAUGCCAACCGACAGCCUGCAGAGAUGCCUUCAAAUCAAAGGUUCAGGUGGGAUGAAGUUUUGUUUGGACGAAGGUGGGAGUUUCCAGGGAGCCAGCUGGAAGUGCAGAAGGGAUGGAAAGCUUUCCCAGGUGCUGGACUUGCCUCUGUGGAUGUGCGCUGAGCUCUCACUGCAGGGGACUGUGAGGCCUGACUGGCUGUGAGUUUGUGUUCUUCUCUCAGGGGAAUCAGAAAUGAUCAUUAAUUAGACCACAGAAAUCUUUUCUGAAACCUUUCCCCUUUCCUGCCCUUUGCUGGUAAGUCUUUUCUUUCUGCCUUUAACUCUACAGCUGUUCCCUGAUGUGAUUUCCCCUGCCUCACUUCUGUGCAGCUCCUAGCUGGGGAAAACUGGGAUAACUUAGAGGGGACAGAGGUGAAACUUUUAGCUGGAUUUUUCUAAAAUUUUCUAAUGAUACUGAAAUUAUUUCCAAUUGCCCCAGUGAGGAGAACACCAACUUGCAGGCAUCAAAAGCUCCAAACUCGUUUAAUUGAGGUAGGUCCAAGGAAAAAUCCAGCCAUGCCAGGCUGAGGCUGGAGCCUGCUCAUAAUUCAUUAUUGGUGUCUGCUGCAGUCUAGGAAUAGCUCUCUCAUUUGUCACUUGCUUGAUCUGCUUUUAUAUCCCUGAUUCAAAUGGAGUUAGGCAAACUUCAUGUUUGCUAUUAGGCUAUGAAGAAGCCUAUUGUAACCAGCAUAUGCUUUUCUUAGAUGGAAAUGUGCAUGCAAAAUACAAAGAUUUUUUUUUUCCCCCCCCCCCGAGGUUCAAGUAUUUUAUCAUUUUAAUAGCAUUCCAUUUUCCUGUUGCACUCAUUUUUAGAGUGCAUCUUUUGUAUUAGCUCUGAAUAGCAUAAUUCCUUCCAAAUUCCUGUGGCACUAUUACCAUAACUAUGCAAUUAGCUACAGCUGGAUGUAGCAGAGGUGAACACUAAAUAGUUUUGUUGGCAGGAGGCCCAGUGUCUUUCUUUUAACCCAGACACCUUCUUUACUGAUGCCUGGUUUGUUACUCUGCUUUAGGGAGUAUGGGGAACUUCAGAUACAAAGAAGAGAAUUUAAAAGUUAUAAUUGUACAAGUUUGUUAUGCAAAAAGGUGCUGAAGGUGCUGUGGAUCUGUUUUGGAUUGUUAUUUGUGUUUUGUUAGGUUUUUUGUUUUGUUCUGUGGGUUUGUUUUUUUGUUUUUUUGUUUUUUUUUGUGUGUGUGUUGGGGUUUGUUUUUUUUUUUCCCACCUAUCUUUUCCCUAGCUUGAAGAAACUCGAAGAAGGAAUUUGGAUAUAUAAAAACAAGCUGAGAAGAGCAUCAGUGUGUUCACUGGCAGCACGGGCUGGGAUGAGGGCUGAGCAGGACCCAAGCUGCAGCACAUCAUCCAUUCAGCUUUCACCUCAUGUUUUAUCACGGCCUUUAUGAGACAGAUGUGAAUCGAUGAGUCCCAGGCCGAGCCGUGCCCGUGCCCCGUUCUGUCGGAGCUGGUGCUUUCCUGACACAUUCACCAGCCACACUCUGUAAUAAAUACUCCUGGGUCUGCUGCUGUUCCUCUUCCUGCUUUAUAUUCAAUUUUCCACCCCUUCUCUCCUCUCUGUCCGCUGUGUCUUUUGUGUUCCUUUCUUGGCCUGUGUGCUCCCCAUCCCAUUCCCUUUCACUGCUUCACUCUCUCUUGUUCUUCUUUUUCUUUUUUGAAAUGAAUACUCAAUAUUUAUGUAAUAUCUCUUACUCAAUCCCUCUCCCUGUUCUGUCCUACUUUUUGCCUCUGUCUCACUUGCUGCCUGCAUCUUUAUUUCUCCUUUCUUCCUCUCCUUGUCCCUCUGUCCUGCACCGUGACUGUGUUUCUUUGUCCCUGUCACUGUCCCUUUGCCUGUACCUGUGUGCACCUGCUGCCCAGUGCUCCUCCCUGACCGUCCCCUCUCUUGGUGAGCCUCUGUCCUGCUGGCCGUGCCUCUCUGUCUCCGUCCCUGUGCUGCUCCUUGGCCGCGUUUGCCCGCCCUGGCACGUGCCGCGGUCGAUUCCUCUGCGGGUUCUUGUUUCCCUCUUUGCAUCCCUCAGUCCUUGAUGCGUGUUUGGCACCGUGUUUCAUUCUGCGUCCUUCUCCGUGCCUCGCUCGUGUUCCUGUUUUAUUCUGUGUGGCUCUGUGGAGCUCCCCGUGCCGGUGGUUCCCAUGGGUGUGUCCCAUUUGCUGUCCCUGUUCUUUUUUAAUCCCUCUCUGUGUGCGGCCCAUUCACCAUCCCAGGUGUUUUUUGGUUUUUUUUCCAUUUCAUCCUGCGCCUUGAUCUUAGUUUUCUUGCUGUGUCCUCUCUGCUGGCGCUCCCUCUUCUGCCCCUUGUUGCCUGUGUCUGCGGGGCUGAGAAGGAACUUCAGCCCUUCUGGGGGCUGUCCCCCACUUCCUUGCGUGAGCAGAGUCCCUUUUUGGGGGGAUGGACCGUGGGAAGGGUUCGAAUAAAGUGCCGUGCUCCUGCCCGAG